rnacentral:lncRNA from 1 species
AAUGGCGGAGUCAUCUUGCUAAAAAAUUGGCUUCAUAUUAUUCCAAGAAAAUCUUUCUAGAAUAUGAUUCAAACAACGAGGUAACAACCUUCAUUCCUAACCAUCUUCAAUUUUUACUCUUGCUUCCUCUUAUUUUGUCUGCCUCUUUGUGUUAUCUAGGAAAUAAUUGAUAGUGAAAGUCCGACUAUGAGUAACUUUAGUCGACCGAUUGAUUAUGGUCCACCAACUCCUACUCCAACCUUGGGAUCCAAUGCUCCUCCUUUUGCUUUCUUUACUUCCUACAACACACCGUUUUGCUAAUCUUCCUUCUGCCACAAACACUACUAGAUUCAGCAUCAACUCCCCACUCAGAAAAUGAAAAUUUUCAAGAGUAGCACGAUUUGAACCAAUAGCAAUCAUUACCAUCAAUUCAGAUAAAAGUUUGAACUGACAACAUCCAUAAUUUCACCAUAUGUCAACUAAUAAUUUUCUCGUAGGAAGAACUGAUUCAUGAAGAACCACUUAACCAGCUAGAAGCUAUUUUGUCAGCUUCAUUAUCACCAAAGAAUCCUUUCAACCCUUCAGGAUCCGUAGCCGACGAAGAAACACCAAAGCUGAUGCCCAUUUGUAGUAACAGACUCAUGUUCAGGUACCAAUUCUUUGAUUAACAAUGAUACCCUUUGCAAUGAAUAUCUGCUUAUAUUGAUCAAUCUUUUAGAUGGAUAGGC